rnacentral:tRNA from 1 species
GGAGAGGUGGCUGAGCUGGUCGAAAGCGGCACACUGCUAAUGUGUUGUACGGCUCUCAAGGUCGUACCGAGGGUUCGAAUCCCUCCCUCUCCGCCA